UACGAAGGGGGCUAGCGUUGCUCGGAAUUACUGGGCGUAAAGGGCGCGUAGGCGGCGCUGCAAGUCAGGCGUGAAAUUCCUGGGCUUAACCUGGGGGCUGCGCUUGAGACUGUGGGGCUAGAGGAUGGAAGAGGCUCGUGGAAUUCCCAGUGUAGAGGUGAAAUUCGUAGAUAUUGGGAAGAACACCGGUGGCGAAGGCGGCGAGCUGGUCCAUUACUGACGCUGAGGCGCGACAGCGUGGGGAGCAAACAGG
rnacentral:rRNA from 1 species